AUCUGGCUGCAGUUCCACCUUCCCUUUGACCACGGAUGUACUGGCAUUGAUGUGAGGGUGGAUGACGAAAGGCCGGCUUGCUCCGGCCUUUUUGUUU
rnacentral:sRNA from 1 species